rnacentral:rRNA from 1 species
ACCAGACUCCUACGGGAGGCAGCAGUGGGGAAUAUUGGGCAAUGGGGGAAACCCUGACCCAGCGACGCCGCGUGAGGGAAGAAGGUUUUCGGAUUGUAAACCUCUGUCCUUGGUGACGAUAAUGACGGUAGCCAAGGAGGAAGCCACGGCUAACUACGUGCCAGCAGCCGCGGCAAUACGGAGGAUGCGAGCGUUAUCCGGAUUUAUUGGGUUUAAAGGGUGCGUAGGCGGGCUGUUAAGUCAGCGGUCAAAUGUCGGGGCUCAACCCCGGCCUGCCGUUGAAACUGGCGGCCUCGAGUGGGCGAGAAGUAUGCGGAAUGCGUGGUGUAGCGGUGAAAUGCAUAGAUAUCACGCAGAACUCCGAUUGCGAAGGCAGCAUACCGGCGCCCGACUGACGCUGAGGCACGAAAGCGUGGGUAUCGAACAGGAUUAGAUACCCGAGUA